rnacentral:rRNA from 1 species
GACGAACGCUGGCGGCGUGCUUAACACAUGCAAGUCGAGCGAGGUCCAACCGGUGGCAACACCGGGGAAGACCUAGCGGCGAACGGUGAGUAACACGUGAGAAACCUGCCCCGAAGUUCGGGAUAACCCGGGGAAACCCGAGCUAAUACCGGAUACCCACGAUUGGUCGCAUGGCCGAUCGUGGAAAGAACUUCGCUUCGGGAGGGUCUCGCGGCCUAUCAGCUUGUUGGUGGGGUAACGGCCCACCAAGGCAUCGACGGGUAGCUGGUCUGAGAGGACGAUCAGCCACACUGGGACUGAGACACGGCCCAGACUCCUACGGGAGGCAGCAGUGGGGAAUCUUGCGCAAUGGGCGAAAGCCUGACGCAGCAACGCCGCGUGCGGGAUGAAGGCCUCGGUUGU